rnacentral:lncRNA from 1 species
CCUGUGUUACCGAGUUUUGUGCCAAUGCCGGGGACUGAACCCAGGACCACUGUACUGAGACACGUCUCCAGCCUUUUUCUACUCUAAUUUUGAGACAAGUUCUCACUAAAUCACUGACUUGCUCAGGCUGGCUUCAAAUGUGUGAUCCUCCUGCCUCAGCCUCCCAGUGUACUGGGACUGCGGGCUUGCCACCACCACACUAGGCUUGCAUGUGUUUUCACAAGUGAUUCAUAUGUGGCGGCAGCCUGCGGAGCAGCGUGGACUGCAUUCUACCCUCAAGGGCUGCUCACUCGCCGCUUUGCUGCAUAGAUCAAGCCGCUCCUUCCCGCUCCGCAAACAGGACCCUCAGCACCCUCCUUCCCUGGGCUUCCCCUGGGCUGAACAGGAAUGGACUGGGGAUCAGCAGGAACAGCUCUCUCCAAGAAUACCGUGGACACGCGGAGGAAAACAAGCCAAGAAAAAUGUCACUGCUUCCCUGAACAUCUAAAUACUCAACGCAUCCUUCUCAAGAAAAGAUCCAGCCUCGAAUUACAGCUCUUUCCUUGUUAGCACUGCACCUCCUGGGCAGCAAUCGCACCCAUUUUUAAGGAAUGUGGAAUAAAAGAGUAAAACAACAA